UGUGCCAUUGCACUCCAGCCUGGGUGACAGAGUGAGACUCUGUCUCAAAAAAAUAAAAAAUAAAUGAAUAAAUAUUCCCACUUGGAAUGAUUCAUUUGGUUGGAAGAUGUUCACCUGCAAAUAGGGAGGGCUACCUCCCUCUCCUAAAAAAUGAAAGGUAUCAUUGAGUUUUGUAUUAAAAACUCCAGGUUGCCAUAUGCAUCCUGCCUCCCUUCCUCUCUCUCUUCUAUGGUGACAGGCUCUGCCUUUUCCCAUGGUACCCUAGAAACUGCGAAUGCAAUGACAAUAUGGAGAGCAGGGACAGAAAGGAAGGGGAUAGGGUCUCCCUCUGUCUCCCAGGCUGGAGUGCAAUGGUGGGAUCUUGGCUCACUGCAGCUUUGAACUCCUGGGCUCAAGCGAUCCUCUCACUUCAACCUCCUGAGUAGCUGGGACUACAGGGCUUCUUCGCUGGAAUGAGGAAGAGGAGGAAGCCAAGGAAGACAGAGACUGUGGCAUCAGUACGGUAGCCUUUCCUAGUAAAGAGACAAGCAUAGCUGAGGAGAAGGGUCAGGAAUUUUCAGGAGUAACAUGAUGUCUCGGAGCAGUCUGUCCGAACACAGUGCCUCUUUUUAGGACUUAUCUAGAGAUAAACUUCAGUUUAGUUGUGGUCCUCUCUGAGCCUGCUUGGUCCAGAUGACGGCCUUUCAGGGUCAGAGAGGUUGCUGAACUCUGGUCUCAAGUGUUUCCUGAAGAAGCAAGUCCCUCCUGUUCCCUUCACACCUGGCCACCUUCACUGAUUCUUCAUGAGACUAGGAAAGUCCUGGUGCAAUUGUCAGCAAGUCAGGUCAUGAAAGAACCAAUGGGGAAGCGCCACCUUGCCACAUCUCUCAAAGCCCUUUCCCACUGCCCCAUCUUCCUAGUGGGGCCGAAGUAUGGCUGACCCUCCAGACCUCUAAAAGAUCCAUUGAUUAACAGAGCUGGAAGAGACCUCAAAGAUUCUUUGGUCCAGUGGUUUUCCACAAUCCUUUCUUCUACUGAAAUUUUACACAGAAUAGUUUAAGUGUAGCAAUUGGAUACAUCCUUAUUUUUUUGAGGCAGGGUUUCACUCUGUUGCCCAGGCUAGAGUGCAGUGGUGCCAUCAUAGCUCACUGCAGCCCUGACCUCCUGGGCUCAAGUGAUCCUCCUACCUCAGCCUCCUGAGUAGCUGGGACUACAGGCAUGCACCACCAUGCCAGCUAAUGAUUUUACUUUUAUUUUUAGUAGAGACGAGAUCUGGCUGUGUUUCCCAGGCUGGUCUUGAAUUCCUGAGCUCAAGUAUCCUCCUGUCUUGGUCUCCCAAAGUGCUGAACCACCGCACCUGGCUGGCAUGCAUCCAAUUUUGUAAUUGGAAGUAUAUUGAUGGGUUAAUUGCAUGUGGUCAAGGAGACUUGGAUUUGAAUCAGAAUGCUCCCCUAUCUAGUUCCUUGGUCUUGGGUUAUGAUUUCAUCUCUGCCUUGUUUGCAAAAAUGGAGCUCAAAAUCGCUACCUCAUUGAGCCAAGACCAUAGAAAAAAUGCUGAGUGCAAUGAUUGAUACAUAAUAAGCAUUUAAUAAAUGGUGGCAGUUAUUUAUGAUGAUGGAUAUUAAACAAGUGAGACUGUUUUGAUGAACACAGACAUUUGAAAUCAACGGUCGUAAGUGACAGUUGCUAUUUUAUACAAGCCUCAACAUUCAUUCGACUUCUGCAUUUUGUUUCAGAGGAAUCGUGCCAGGAAGACAAUUAUUAGUUCAGAAAAGCAGGUGCCUUACAAUCUUAGGAUACUCAAAUAAAAUAUUUGCAGUGUCCCUGAAGCACCUUUGAAGACUAGUUUGAGGACCUCUGAUCUACACCAAACCCCAGCUUUUAUCGUUGAAGACACUGGGGCUCAGGCAGUGGACUGUCUUGCUACAGUCAAGUGAGCUUGAUGUCUCACCUCCAUGGCGCACACAGGCCAGACAUGUAUGAGAGUAAUGAGUGCCUGGUGACAGCUCACUAGCCUGAUUCCCUUACGACUUCAAGACCAGUGCCCUUGGGAAGCAGUUCACAGCGUUUCAUGUAGGAAACAGAGCUAGAAGGGGCCGUUCUAUUACCUGGGAUGGGUGUUGCUUCUUGCCCUGGUGUUGGUUUGCAGUUUUGAUGGGGUUGGUGAUCGAGGGCACACCAUUCAGGUUCUGUUGGGACAAAGGCCAUCUCACUAUUAGGAAGAGGAAGUGGUGAGCCAGGUGCCUCGAGAAGGACCACCUAGUCAUCCCAGGGCCACCCCAUGCCUCAGCACUGUGGGAACCAGAGGCCAGAAGCCAGGGGGAGCAUAUACACCAGGGCACCUCAGCCAGGCCUGCCCCGCCCAGCCUGGUGUCAAGUUCUCCACUUGAAGAGGCUUUGAAACUAGGCAGAACAUGGCUCUGCCCUUAGAGGAGAGCCAGCCUUUCUGGGACUUUAUUAGCUAAUGAAGAACCCUUUAUAUAUAAGAUGAAAAAAAAGAAAAUAAAAAAAAAAUAAUCACAAGCAAGUCCACAGUUUUUUGUUUGUUUUAGAGACAGGGUCUCACUGUGUUGUCCAGGCUGGGGUCAAACUCCUGGGCCACAGCGAUCCUCCUGCCUCAGCCUCCCCAGUAGCUGGAAGUACAGGUGCACAUCAUUGUACCCAGCUGAAGUCCAAUGUUUAAUUGGCCUUUUAUACUUCUCAUGAAAAGAUGUAUAACCAGAUUUGGGGGAGGUGAAAUAAGUUCGAGUAACUGUGUGCAGGUAAACUCUGCUUUCCCCUGUAAAUGUGUUCUUUUUAUUUUUAUUUAUUUUUAUUUUUUGAGAUGGGGGUCUCGCUCUGUUGCCCAGGCUGAAGUGCAGUGGCACGAUCUGGGCUCACUGCAACCUCUGCCUCCCAGGUUCAAGUGAUUCUCCAGCCUCAGCCUCCCAAGUAGUGGGGAUUACCGGUGCCCAUCACCACUCCCAGCUAAUUUUUGUAUUUUUAGUACAGGCGGGGUUUCACCAUGUUGGCCAGGCUGGUCUUGAACUCCUGGCCUCAAGUGGUCCUCCUGCUGUGGCCUCCCAAAGUGCUGGGAGUACAGGCAUGAGCCACCACGCCCAGCCAAUGUGUCCUUUUUAAUAAUAACAUUUUGUCAAUGGAAUCCUCACUGAAAGGAACUCUAAGGUGGAUCUGUAGCUGUUGAAAAUCUGGUUCUGAAUCUUGGGUUUCCAUGAAGAAGUGCUGAGGGAUUUUCAAGUGAUUCCAAAGCACAGAAAAACCCCAAGGCCAUACCUCGUUGUGCAUCAGAGUGGUGAGGUCUGCGUUGGACCUGCUGGAACCAAGCAGAGGACACAGGAGCCACGUCAGUGAGGCCGACUCUUGGGAGGGGAGGUCCCCCUGCAUCAGGCGUUUGGUGUAAGGGACUUAAACUCUCUGGAUUCCAGUUUUCUAGUCUCCAGAGAAGACUAAUCUCUCCCUUGUCUUCCUUGCCUUCUGAGAUGCUGUAAGGAUUAGUGGGGCCAGGGGCCUGCUUCCUUCUGAGGGCAGGGGCAGCACUUUCCUUUGAUAUUAACAAUCGUCCUAACAGCAGAUGUGGAGUGGAUAUUAGAUACAGAGUGCACAUAUAUGGGCUUUAACCCCCAGACAUUGUUAAUCCUCAUCACAGAUCUAUGGUCCUGGCAUUCAUACCUCCAUUUACACCAGUACUUAGCACGGGGAUGCUAAGUGGCAGAGGAGGGUAGGAGUCCAGGAGUCUGUCUCUCUGGAAAGCCUAUGCCCCCUGACCAUGUUCUCACUGGCUGACUCUCAUGUUCUCACUGGCUGACUCUCAUGUUCUCACUGACUGACUCUGGGAAGACCACUAUCUAGAAAGGGGAACUUGUGAUAUGCGUAUCGGAGGUGACAGGAGCAGGGAGGGCCUGGAUUGUACUCAGGGAAAGUCAAGGGAGAGGGAGAGGGUGGCGGAGGGGGAGGACUUCUGAUCAGCAAGUACACCUCAGGGGGUGAGUCUCUCCCACCCCUGCUGGUCCCCAACCUUUGCCUUGAGGACAGAAGAAGAUGAGAACUUAGCCAUCAGUGUAACUGACACACUGAGUGAUCAGUGAAUGUUUCCAGUUUGUCUUAGUUGCGAGGACAGUGGGAGCCACCAGCUCAGCCACUGUGAAGACAGAGAGCGUAUUGGGCACACACAUGCGGGAUGUGGGUCCUGCGGCCAUGGUCCCUCUUCAGGCUCUGUCAGGGAAGGAUAAGAAGCUGACAGGCGUGCAGAGGGAAGUGUUCUUUGGAGUGAGUUCUUAGCCUGGGAGGAGAAUGUGCUGUGAUGUUUCCCUUCCCUUCUUCCCAAACUGGGUGAGGAGGGUAGGCGAGGAUCCUCAGGUAGCAUGGGAGGUGGUGGCCGCAAGAGUGCUGUCUGCACACCCAGCAAAUGACCCAGUUCCCACCAGCACAAAAGAUGCUUAGAGUUCUAGGGACAACUCAGGCUUUUCUUUUGGAGUUUGGGGAUACAUUUUUGUGUGGAAAAGAGCAAAGGCAAGAAGCCAGUAGGGUGAUGCCAGAGAGGCCACAGGGAGGAGAAAAGGCCACAGUGAGGAUGGCCUUUUCCUGGGUCACCUGGGACAGGCCUGCCCAGAGGCAGAGGCAGCCCCAAUACAGGGGUUGUGGGGGAGUUAACCACCAGAGCACAGGCCCUGGAGGGUGGCGUGAGUGUUAAUCCCAGAGCAAGGCCCUGCCAUCAGGCCUGAGGCCCUGCAGAGGGCGCCAUAAUGGGAUGCUCCAAAGACCCUGAAGGCAGUUGCCCCACAGAUGAAAGAGCCAGGGACUGAAAUCUCAGAGAGGGCACCAACCCCAGACCUCAAUAGCCCCCAUCCAGACCCUUCUCACCCAUUUAUCUUUCCUGUACCCUAGAGCUGCUGUCCUAAGCCCAGAAAAGUCAGAAGCAGCAGAGUGAGGGUGCGGUUAGGGGAGGAGGAGAAGAGGGAGGUGGAGGAAGACAGAAAGAAGCUCAACUCCCUCCCCCGACUUACUUUCACCUUCUUUCUUCUGCAGGCCUAGGGUGAGGGGUGGGUGGGUAUGGGAGAAGCUUUGGCUGAGAAGUUGAAGUUUUGAUUUGAAUUUGGACUAGUCUCCCAAAUGUCUGAACAUGAGAUUGUUAUAAUACCUGAAAGGAACCAGGAGAGCUACGGGAUUUGCCUGGGAUAUCAUCAAGGGUGAUGUCAUCAAGAAAUCCAAUAUGCUAUGAUUGAAGAUAGUGGUGGAGAAAAAUAAAGCGAUUUCCUGAUGGCACCCUUCCACGUCUGUCCCACUGUGAACGCUGAUUUCACCCAAUGUGCGUUCUCCUUUUUUACAACAAGGGCAAAUGACAGAGCUGAGCUGUAUUACAAAUCCAGCUUUUAAAUGUGGACUAUUCAUUGUGGCAUGCCUGUGGGCCACAUUUUGAAAUAGAAUCUCCAAAUGGAAUCAGCUGUUAAUAGAGCUUCCUCCAGGAAUGUCUGAGGCUGCUUCUCCUUUUCCAGCUCUGCUUCCCAUCAUCACAAGGCCCUCUCACCUCCUGUCCCCUCAUCCCCUACCUGUCACCUAAGUUUUCUUUGCCAUAUCUAACAAGACCAAAUCUACCAAGACCUUAUCUAAUAUCUAGAAAAUAUUUCAUGAUUCUCCAAGAAUCUGCAGUGGCAUCGAGAUGUGAACGGUUUUCCGUUAACAAAUUAAACAUACUAUUUUCCUAAAAGGGACAUGAAUUUAGAAGAGAUUCUGCAUGGUGGCUGUGUGGACAGUUCAUAUAUCCACUGAGAUUCAGUGUGGCCUUUUUAUUUCUUCCUCAUCACUGCAACACUGUGGUUAAGGGAGUGACUCUCCAGGUCCUGACAGGUCACUCCUAGGUAUGGAGAGGAAAUGGGGGAGGUUGGGCGGGGUGGGGGGGUGGUGUGGCAAGGUGGUGAGCUUGGGUGGUACAUCUCAAAGAGCUGUUUAUGGGUCUAGGUCCCCUCUUUUCUGACCUCCCCUAUGGACUCUGAGAGGCGCUGUCUGGGAGAGGGCAGUCAUACUCACUCUUCAUUGACAAAGAUGAGUUCCAGAGAAGGUUGGCUGUUCUUUACAUCCAGACCUAUGAGUAGCAAAGAAAAGCAGUAUGUGAGAGGUGGAGGCUGGGGCUGACCCUGUGGGUUGGAGCAUAGCUCAAGGGCUUAGGGCGGAGGUGGGCCAUAUGGAGUGGGUGACAUUUCUCCUUCCCUUUGCUCUGUAAAUAGAAUGGGGCUCAUGGAUGCAGACUGGCCCCAGGGUUUUGCAGUGAUCCUUGAGCAUUUGGGGGCAAAGAGCAGUGUGUACCCUUGAGCAUUUGGGGGAAAAGAGCCCAGAAGUGAAGGAGGAAGGAAGAGCCAGAACAGGGAGUUCAGGGAAGCUUCAGAGUCCAAGAGCUGGGAUGGGAAAGAGGAGAGAGGGAAGAGGAAGGGGAAUGUGGGGGCAUGGCUGAGGGGGUCCUGGGGUGGGCACAAAGUUGGGCAGUCUCCCUAGAGGAGCCAGGCAGGAGGACCCCAGGGGAGGUUGGAGGAGCAAAGGAGAGAUGAACUCCAGCAAACUGUACUGAUGGGUUCGGCCUCUUCGGUGUUGGAGUUGCCCGCCACGAGCUGCUCGUCCUCAGCACUGACCAGCUCCUGCAGCACGGCCUCCACGAUGGGCAUCACCAUGGCGGUGGUGGAGGUGUUGGACAGCCACAUGGACAGCAACGUGGUACAGCACAUGAAGCAGAGCAGCAGCCUGGAAGGCAGGGAGGGUUGGGGCAGAGCGUCCACGGAACACACAUCCCUGCGGCUCCACAGUGGGCCUCCUACCAACCUGCUGGGGCUGGUCUAGACAGCUGUGGCUGGAAAGGCAGGCAUUUGUCCUGCAGGGUGCCAUUCAGCUCUGUACUCCCAAUGCUUGGCACAGCGUGGAAUCACUGACUUUGCACAACUUGGGGACAGUACGUUUAUCAUGUGGACUCCAUUGGCUGACAGCGACUUGACUUUGCCAAUUCUGUACCUACACGGGUAACUGCCUCUGGGGGUGGCAACUUGCUGACUGAUGUAAAUAGGGAGGAGUGGAAAUGUGAGAGGAUAAAAAUUCUUGCAGAUAGUACACAGAGAUUUUAAAGAGCCACAGAGUCUCCAUAUGAUGUGACGAAAUGCCACUGUGUGCCUGGGAGGUUGAGUGUAGGGGCAAGAUUAUUACUGAGUUAGGGGGUGGAUUAAGCUGUAGUUAUCAGACCUGUUUGACAAUCUGGGAGACAGGAACAUGCUUUUAAGCAUAACCUAUAGUCAUCUAAAUGACUCAUACUGAGAACCAAUACUAUAUUAUUUAUUUAUACUCGUGUUGACUCCCAUAGGAGUCAGGGCAGCUUACAUAAAAUACAGCAAGAAAGUUGUAAACUAGAAGGAGGUGAGCAGGAUAUUCCAAAAGGGAAGGUACAGGCAGGGGAAUCCAAAUGGAACAUUGCUGAAGCUAACACAAAACUCAACCUUGACACCGUAACACAUUCCCCGAGGGUGGGACUCCCUCCCGCAUCACAGUCAAAUGCAGUGUCUCUAACUGGGUCUGUGGUCUGAACUGAUGACAAAAACUCAGGGUGGAUGGGAGGAAACAUUCCCGUCUCCUUCAGUGACAAAGGAGAAGACAGCCACUUCCGGUCCAGCCUGUUCCCUGAUACACAGGAAACAGGUUGGGAAACAAUUUCUCUUGGUCCAUCCUGUUUUACCUGAUGGGCCCCUAUAUGUUGUAAGCUGCUGCCCUUGCAGCCUAGGUCAAUGGGUAAAUUCUUUGGAUAAUGAUAGCAAGGUCACAGGUUUAAAUCUCUACUCCAUGAUCACAGGCCCUCUCCCUGGACGGGUCCUAUGGCUCUGGUGUCAGCCCGACCCUUUGGUAAAAAAACAGCUGAAGUGGACAUCCCGCAGUGACCUGAGACCACUGUCCUGGUGGCACACUGGGAGCUAGAAGGAUGCCCUAUGUCCUGGCAUCCCAAAUAAGACUUACAUGCCCGGCUUGGCUCCGGCCAUCAAGACCAUGCGCAGAGCAAUGCGCUUAUGCAGGUUCCACUUCUCCACGGCAGCCGCCACGCAGAUGACCCCCACCAGCAGCAGCGUGGUGUUCUUGAAGUACUCCGCCGCCACCUGUAGGGAGGCCAGGCAUGUCAGUCACCCUCCCGGACCAAAGACCCAGGGCCCAGCACCAGCUGGGAGAAUGGGCCAUACCCAAUAAAACCUGUUCUCAAUCAAAGAGGCUGGCGAAGGGGAGGCAGGGGGGUGAGGAUUAUUGAAAUAGCCGCCCAUCCUAGAGUCACAUCUACUGAGCGUUCAUUGUGGGCAGGCACUGUGCUAAGUACUUGACAGAUUAUUUCAUUCAAUCUGGCCCAUAACUCUAUAGGAUAGAUGUUCUUCUCCACUUUGGAAAACAUAAAACCACUGUAUUUAAAUAUGAUGUGAAUAUGAUUUUAAAGAAUAAACACAUAUAAUUUUA